rnacentral:rRNA from 1 species
AGAGUUUGAUCCUGGCUCAGAUUGAACGCUGGCGGCAUGCCUUACACAUGCAAGUCGAACGGAUUGAGGGGCUUGCUCCUCAGUUAGUGGCGAACGGGUGAGUAAUGCAUCGGAACGUACCUUUUUGUGGGGGAUAACUACUCGAAAGAGUAGCUAAUACCGCAUACGCCCUGAGGGGGAAAGCGGGGGACUCGCAAGAGCCUCGCGCAAAAAGAGCGGCCGAUGUCAGAUUAGCUAGUUGGUAGGGUAAAAGCCUACCAAGGCGACGAUCUGUAGCUGGUCUGAGAGGACGACCAGCCACACUGGGACUGAGACACGGCCCAGACUCCUACGGGAGGCAGCAGUGGGGAAUUUUGGACAAUGGGCGAAAGCCUGAUCCAGCCAUGCCGCGUGAGUGAAGAAGGCCUUCGGGUUGUAAAGCUCUUUCGGACAGAAAGAAAUCGCAUGAACUAAUACUUUGUGCGGAUGACGGUACUGUAAGAAGAAGCACCGGCUAACUACGUGCCAGCAGCCGCGGUAAUACGUAGGGUGCGAGCGUUAAUCGGAAUUACUGGGCGUAAAGGGUGCGCAGGCGGUUAUAUAAGACAGAUGUGAAAUCCCCGGGCUCAACCUGUGAACUGCGUUUGUGACUGUAUGACUAGAGUACGGUAG